ensembl:lncRNA
UGAAAGAAUCACAAGUAAAAAAUUUUUUUCUGCAUUAACACUCCAGCUCAGCUCUUCUAAGAGAGCUAAGAGGCAGAGCCUCUUCUGCCUCUUCAUUCUGUCUUGGCCCAGCUCUGAGCUCCUCCAACUCUUUUGACCAGGAAGCACAAUGCCUAGCAGGGUCUGAGCCUGUCUGAUCCUGCCCUGAAGCUUGACAGAUGUUUUUGGAUUCCCUGCUAAAAAGAACCUGUGCUUCUAGAGCAGAGCUUCAGCAAUCAUAUGCCUGGAUUAAUCUGUCAUCACAGCAUCAACACUCCUCGCAGCAAAAAGUUCUGAAACUCAGUUUUCCUGGCUCCUGAACAACCUUUUGGCUACAGGAAAGUAAAGCAGACGGUAAAAUCAUCUGAUUGCAAUGCUGGAGACCCAGGUUCAAUCCCUGGGUCAGGGAAGAUCCCCUGGAGAAGAAAUGGCAACCCACUCCAGUACUCUUGCCUGGAAAAUUCCAUGGAUGGAAGAACCUCAUAGGCUACAGUCCAUGGGGAGAAAAAGAGUCGGACACAACUGAGCGACUUCACUUUCACUAUCUUUUCGAUCUCUUCUUGAAUUAACCUUCUUUUCUUCUACCUUUUGCCAUACUGUUCUUCUUCACUGUCUUAAGUAAACUAAAACAUCUCCUACCUGAGGACCUUUGCACAUACUCCUUUCACAGUGUACUUGUCUUUUCCUAUUUUG